rnacentral:rRNA from 1 species
UCUCCUGGAAACGGGUGGUAAUGCCGGAUGCUCCGCCCCCUCGCAUGGGGGGUCGGGAAGGCUUUUGCGGAAUGGGAUGGGGUCGCGUCCUAUCAGCUUGUUGGCGGGGCGACGGCCCACCAAGGCUUCGACGGGUAGCCGGCCUGAGAGGGCGACCGGCCACAUUGGGACUGAGAUACGGCCCAGACUCCUACGGGAGGCAGCAGUGGGGAAUAUUGCACAAUGGGGGGAACCCUGAUGCAGCGACGCCGCGUGCGGGAUGGAGGCCUUCGAGUCGUGAACCGCUUUUGAUUGGGAGCAAGCGUGAGUGAGUGUACCUUUCGAAUAAGCACCGGCUAACUACGUGCCAGCAGCCGCGGUAAUACGUAGGGUGCAAGCGUUGUCCGGAAUCAUUGGGCGUAAAGGGCUCGUAGGCGGUUCGUCGCGUCCGGUGUGAAAGCCCAUCGCUUAACGGUGGGUCUGCGCCGGGUACGGGCGGGCUUGAGUGCGGCAGGGGAGGCUGGAAUUCCCGGUGUAACGGUGGAAUGUGUAGAUAUCGGGAAGAACACCA